UACGUAGGGGGCGAGUGUUGUCCGGAAUCAUUGGGCGUAAAGAGCUCGUAGGCGGUUCAGCAAGUCGGCUGUGAAAGUCCGAGGCUCAACCUCGGAACUGCAGUCGAAACUGCUGUGACUAGAGUCCGGUAGAGGAGAAUGGAAUUCCCGGUGUAGCGCCGAAAUGCGCAGAUAUCGGGAGGGACACCAGUAGCGAAGGCGGUUCUCUGGGCCGGUACUGACGCUGAGGAGCGAAAGCGUGGGGAGCAAACAGG
rnacentral:misc_RNA from 1 species